rnacentral:rRNA from 1 species
AAAAAAGGUAAGCUACUAAGAGCGAAUGGUGGAUGCCUUGACUGGUAAAGGCGAUGAAGGACGUACUAGACUGCGAUAAGCUACGGGGAGCUGUCAAGAAGCUUUGAUCCGUAGAUUUCCGAAUGGGGCAACCCAAUGUAUAGAGAUAUACAUUACCUAUAUAGGAGCGAACGAGGGGAAUUGAAACAUCUUAGUACCCUCAGGAAAAGAAAUCAAUAGAGAUUGCGUCAGUAGCGGCGAGCGAAAGCGCAAGAGGGCAAACCCAGUGCUUGCACUGGGGGUUGUAGGACUGCAAUGUGCAAGAGGUGAGUUUAGCAGAACAUUCUGGAAAGUAUAGCCAUAGAGGGUGAUAGUCCCGUAUGCGAAAAACAAACCUUAGCUAGCAGUAUCCUGAGUAGGGCGGGACACGAGAAAUCCUGUCUGAAGCUGGGUCGACCACGAUCCAACCCUAAAUACUAAUACCAGAUCGAUAGUGCACAAGUACCGUGAGGGAAAGGUGAAAAGAACUGAGGUGAUCAGAGUGAAAUAGAACCUGAAACCAUUUGCUUACAAUCAUUCAGAGCCCUAUGUAGCAAUACAGGGUGAUGGACUGCCUUUUGCAUAAUGAGCCUGCGAGUUGUGGUGUCUGGCAAGGUUAAGCAAACGCGAAGCCGUAGCGAAAGCGAGUCUGAAUAGGGCGCUUAGUCAGAUGCUGCAGACCCGAAACGAAGUGAUCUAUCCAUGAGCAAGUUGAAGCUAGUGUAAGAACUAGUGGAGGACUGAACCCAUAGGCGUUGAAAAGCCCCGGGAUGACUUGUGGAUAGGGGUGAAAGGCCAAUCAAACUUCGUGAUAGCUGGUUCUCUCCGAAAUAUAUUUAGGUAUAGCGUUGUGUCGUAAUAUAAGGGGGUAGAGCACUGAAUGGGCUAGGGCAUACACCAAUGUACCAAACCCUAUCAAACUCCGAAUACCUUAUAUGUAAUCACAGCAGUCAGGCGGCGAGUGAUAAAAUCCGUCGUCAAGAGGGAAACAACCCAGACUACCAGCUAAGGUCCCUAAAUCUUACUUAAGUGGAAAACGAUGUGAAGUUACUUAAACAACCAGGAGGUUGGCUUAGAAGCAGCCAUCCUUUAAAGAAAGCGUAAUAGCUCACUGGUCUAGUGAUUUUGCGCGGAAAAUAUAACGGGGCUAAAGUAAGUACCGAAGCUGUAGACUUGCGCACAACUUAGAUUAUUUAAGUUUAGAAUAUGAGAAACUAAGUUAUAUGUUUAGUUAUAUUUUUACUGAUUUUUAUAGAGUAAAGAUAGAAAUAAAACUUAGUAAAAUCAGUAAAAAUAUUCUUAGACUAAAGUUAAGUAGUUUAAGUUGUGUGCAAGUGGUAGGAGAGCGUUCUAUUUGCGUCGAAGGUAUACCGGUAAGGAGUGCUGGAGCGAAUAGAAGUGAGCAUGCAGGCAUGAGUAGCGAUAAUUAAUGUGAGAAUCAUUAACGCCGUAAACCCAAGGUUUCCUACGCGAUGCUCGUCAUCGUAGGGUUAGUCGGGUCCUAAGUCGAGUCCGAAAGGGGUAGACGAUGGCAAAUUGGUUAAUAUUCCAAUACCAACAUUAGUGUGCGAUGGAAGGACGCUUAGGGCUAAGGGGGCUAGCGGAUGGAAGUGCUAGUCUAAGGUCGUAGGAGGUUAUACAGGCAAAUCCGUAUAACAAUACUCCGAGAACUGAAAGGCUUUUUGAAGUCUUCGGAUGGAUAGAAGAACCCCUGAUGCCAUCGAGCCAAGAAAAGUUUCUAAGUUUAGCUAAUGUUGCCCGUACCGUAAACCGACACAGGUGGGUGGGAUGAGUAUUCUAAGGCGCGUGGAAGAACUCUCUUUAAGGAACUCUGCAAAAUAGCACCGUA